rnacentral:siRNA from 1 species
CAGAUGUGCCGCCCCAGCCAA